GUCAUUUUGUAGGUCAUAAGCAUGAUGAUUGGUUUUUCAUGCUCAUGUGUGAGAUGUACCUCCCUCAAAUCUUGCUACAACAUUGGUCAUGUACCAAUGUUUGACA
ensembl:snoRNA